UUUUCCAUUUACUUGCUGCUCUGGUCUCAGUGAUAGAAGCAGUUUAGGCAUGGGAUAAAAUUAUAUUGGACCAUUGUGAAUUGAGAUAGUAUUUUGUCUCUUGUACGUGAACUAAACAUUG
ensembl:snoRNA Snora20 small nucleolar RNA, H/ACA box 20